GUAGGGAAUAUUGGACAAUGGGCGAAAGCCUGAUCCAGCAAUGCCGCGUGAGUGAUGAAGGCCUUAGGGUUGUAAAGCUCUUUUACCCGGGAUGAUAAUGACAGUACCGGGAGAAUAAGCCCCGGCUAACUCCGUGCCAGCAGCCGCGGUAAUACGGAGGGGGCUAGCGUUGUUCGGAAUUACUGGGCGUAAAGCGCACGUAGGCGGCGAUUUAAGUCAGAGGUGAAAGCCCGGGGCUCAACCCCGGAACUGCCUUUGAGACUGGAUUGCUUGAACAUCGGAGAGGUGAGUGGAAUUCCGAGUGUAGAGGUGAAAUUCGUAGAUAUUCGGAAGAACACCAGUGGCGAAGGCGGCUCACUGGACGAUUGUUGACGCUGAGGUGCGAAAGCGUGGGGAGCAAAC
rnacentral:rRNA from 1 species